AGGCUUAACACAUGCAAGUCGAGGGGCAGCAUGGUCUUAGCUUGCUAAGGCCGAUGGCGACCGGCGCACGAGUGAGUAACACGUAUCCAACCUGCCGUCUACUCUUGGACAGCCUUCUGAAAGGAAGAUUAAUACAAGAUGGCAUCAUGAGUCCGCAUGUUCACAUGAUUAAAGGUAUUCCGGUAGACGAUGGGGAUGCGUUCCAUUAGAUAGUAGGCGGGGUAACGGCCCACCUAGUCUUCGAUGGAUAGGGGUUCUGAGAGGAAGGUCCCCCACAUUGGAACUGAGACACGGUCCAAACUCCUACGGGAGGCAGCAGUGAGGAAUAUUGGUCAAUGGGCGAGAGCCUGAACCAGCCAAGUAGCGUGAAGGAUGACUGCCCUAUGGGUUGUAAACUUCUUUUAUAAAGGAAUAAAGUCGGGUAUGGAUACCCGUUUGCAUGUACUUUAUGAAUAAGGAUCGGCUAACUCCGUGCCAGCAGCCGCGGUAAUACGGAGGAUCCGAGCGUUAUCCGGAUUUAUUGGGUUUAAAGGGAGCGUAGAUGGAUGUUUAAGUCAGUUGUGAAAGUUUGCGGCUCAACCGUAAAAUUGCAGUUGAUACUGGAUAUCUUGAGUGCAGUUGAGGCAGGCGGAAUUCGUGGUGUAGCGGUGAAAUGCUUAGAUAUCACGAAGAACUCCGAUUGCGAAGGCAGCCUGCUAAGCUGCAACUGACAUUGAGGCUCGAAAGUGUGGGUAUCAAACAGGAUUAGAUACCCUGGUAGUCCACACGGUAAACGAUGAAUACUCGCUGUUUGCGAUAUACUGCAAGCGGCCAAGCGAAAGCGUUAAGUAUUCCACCUGGGGAGUACGCCGGCAACGGUGAAACUCAAAGGAAUUGACGGGGGCCCGCACAAGCGGAGGAACAUGUGGUUUAAUUCGAUGAUACGCGAGGAACCUUACCCGGGCUUAAAUUGCAGAUGAAUUACGGUGAAAGCCGUAAGCCGCAAGGCAUCUGUGAAGGUGCUGCAUGGUUGUCGUCAGCUCGUGCCGUGAGGUGUUGGCUUAAGUGCCAUAACGAGCGCAACCCUUGUUGUCAGUUACUAACAGGUUCCGCUGAGGACUCUGACAAGACUGCCAUCGUAAGAUGUGAGGAAGGUGGGGAUGACGUCAAAUCAGCACGGCCCUUACGUCCGGGGCUACACACGUGUUACAAUGGGGGGUACAGAGGGCCGCUACCACGCGAGUGGAUGCCAAUCCCCAAAACCUCUCUCAGUUCGGACUGGAGUCUGCAACCCGACUCCACGAAGCUGGAUUCGCUAGUAAUCGCGCAUCAGCCACGGCGCGGUGAAUACGUUCCCGGGCCUUGUACACACCGCCCGUCAAGCCAUGGGAGCCGGGGGUACCUGAAGUGCGUAACCGCGAGGAGCGCCCUAGGGUAAAACUGGUGACUGGGGCU
rnacentral:rRNA from 1 species